rnacentral:rRNA from 2 species
GAUUAGCCAUGCAUGUCUAAGUACAUGCCGUAUUAAGGCGAAACCGCGAAUGGCUCAUUAAAUCAGUCAUGGUUCCUUGGAUCGUACCUUACUACUUGGAUAACUGUGGCAAUUCUAGAGCUAAUACAUGCAGCAGAGCUCCGACCUUCGGGGACGAGCGCUUUUAUUAGACCAAAACCAAUCGGACCUCGUGUCCGUCCUUUGUGGUGACUCUGUAUAACUUUGGGCUGAUCGCACGGGCCUGUCCCGGCGACGUAUCUUUCAAGUGUCUGCCUUAUCAACUUUCGAUGGUAGGUUACGCGCCUACCAUGGUCGUAACGGGUAACGGGGAAUCAGGGUUCGAUUCCGGAGAGGGAGCCUGAGAAACGGCUACCACAUCCAAGGAAGGCAGCAGGCGCGCAAAUUACCCACUCCCAGAACGGGGAGGUAGUGACGAAAAAUAACAAUACGGGACUCUUUUGAGACCCCGUAAUUGGAAUGAGUACACUCUAAAUCCUUUAACGAGGAUCCAUUGGAGGGUAAGUCUGGUGCCAGCAGCCGCGGUAAUUCCAGCUCCAAUAGCGUAUAUUAAAGUUGUUGCGGUUAAAAAGCUCGUAGUUGGAUCUCAGUUCCAGACGGGUGGUCCGCCUACCGGUGGUUACUGCCUGUUCUGAACAGUCAGCCGGUUUCUCUUGAUGAUCUUCACCGGUUGUCUUGGGUGACCGGCAAGUUUACUUUGAAAAAAUUAGAGUGCUCAAAGCAGGCGUGACGCCUGAAUAAUGGUGCAUGGAAUAAUGGAAUAGGACCUCGGUUCUAUUUUGUUGGUUUUCGGAACACGAGGUAAUGAUUAAGAGGGACAGACGGGGGCAUUCGUAUUGCGACGCUAGAGGUGAAAUUCUUGGACCGUCGCAAGACGAACUACUGCGAAAGCAUUUGCCAAGAAUGUUUCCAUUAAUCAAGAACGAAAGUUAGAGGUUCGAAGGCGAUCAGAUACCGCCCUAGUUCUAACCAUAAACGAUGCCAGCCAGCGAUCCGGCUGUGU